rnacentral:rRNA from 1 species
CGGCGGACGGGUGAGUAACGCGUGGGUAACCUACCCUGUACACACGGAUAACAUACCGAAAGGUAUGCUAAUACGGGAUAAUAUAUUUGAGAGGCAUCUCUUGAAUAUCAAAGGUGAGCCAGUACAGGAUGGACCCACGUCUGAUUAGCUAGUUGGUAAGGUAACGGCUUACCAAGGCGACGAUCAGUAGCCGACCUGAGAGGGUGAUCGGCCACAUUGGAACUGAGACACGGUCCAA